GAUGAACGCUGGCGGCGUGCCUAACACAUGCAAGUCGAGCGAACGGACGAUAAGCUUGUUUUUUUGAUGUUAGCGGCGGACGGGCGUGUAACACGUGGAUAACCUACUUAUAUUUCGGGGAUAAUUUCGGAAAACCGGCUCUAAUACCAUAGAAUAUUUUGAACCGCAUGGUGCAAAGGUGAAUGACGGCCUUGCUGUCAGUAAUAGAUGCUUCCGCGCUGGAUUAGCUAGUUGGUAAGGUAACGGCUUACCAAGGCGACGAUGGGUAGCCGAGCUGAGAGGGUGAUCGGCCACACUGGAACUGAGACACGGUCCAGACUCCUACGGGAGGCAGCAGUAGGGAAUCUUGGGCAAUGGGCGAAAGCCUGACGCAGCAACGCCGCGUGAGUGAUGAAGGUCUUCGGAUCGUAAAGCUCUGUUAUUGGGGAAGAACAGCUGUGUAAGUAGAUGUGGACGUCGUGACGGUACCUAAUCAAGAAGCAACGGCUAACUACGUG
rnacentral:rRNA from 1 species